rnacentral:lncRNA from 1 species
AAACAAUGUAAUUCAGUGAUGUGAUUUAUCCCUAUAUAUCAUAUUUGUUUUUCGUUAAUUGUUUUGUAAACAAAUCUGGUCGUUUGUUUUUCAUAAUUGAAAUGUUUUGCAUUUGUCCUUUUAGGUUCAUAUAGAGGUAACCAUGCGUUAUCAUUACUUUGCUCAUCAUUGAAGACAUUAUCAUGUACGGGGCACCGUCUAUGACUUGAUCGAUGAUGGAGACACACAUCUUCCCAUUUUUAUAAUGGUUUUUUUUUCUAUAUUCAUCGGUUUUUUGUUAUAUUAUAAAUAUAUAAACAUAUAACUUCACAACACUGGACAAAUUCGACUGUCCACCAUUCUAUAAGCUUUCAUAGGGUGGCUAAAAUGUUGUCAACGAUAACGAACUGGAAAGGAUCCUGAGAGAUAACUGUACAAGUGUAAUUCAUGGUAUAUACA